rnacentral:rRNA from 1 species
AACGCCAGCUACAGGCUUAACACAUGCAAGUUCGAGGGGCAGCAUGGUCUUAGCUUGCUAAGGCCGAAGGCGACCGGCGCACGGGCGAGUAACGCGUAUCCAACCUGCCUUACACUCUUGGACAGCCUUCUGAAAGGGAGAUUAAUACAAGAUGUUUAUCAUGAGUAAGCAUUUUCGCAUGAUUAAAGGUUUACCGGUGUAAGAUGGGGAUGCGUUCCAUUAGAUAGUAGGCGGGGUAACGGCCCACCUAGUCUUCGAUGGAUAGGGGUUCUGAGAGGAAGGUCCCCCACAUUGGAACUGAGACACGGUCCAAACUCCUACGGGAGGCAGCAGUGAGGAAUAUUGGUCAAUGGACGAGAGUCUGAACCAGCCAAGUAGCGUGAAGGAUGAAGGUUCUAUGGAUUGUAAACUUCUUUUAUACGGGAAUAAACGGAUCCACGUGUGGAUUUUUGCAUGUACCGUAUGAAUAAGGAUCGGCUAACUCCGUGCCAGCAGCCGCGGUAAUACGGAGGAUCCGAGCGUUAUCCGGAUUUAUUGGGUUUAAAGGGAGCGUAGAUGGGUUGUUAAGUCAGUUGUGAAAGUUUGCGGCUCAACCGUAAAAUUGCAAUUGAUACUGGCAGUCUUGAGUACAGUUGAGGUAGGCGGAAUUCGUGGUGUAGCGGUGAAAUGCUUAGAUAUCACGAAGAACUCCGAUUGCGAAGGCAGCUUACUAACCUGUAACUGACAUUGAUGCUCGAAAGUGUGGGUAUCAAACAGGAUUAGAUACCCUGGUAGUCCACACGGUAAACGAUGAAUACUCGCUGUGGGCGAUAUACAGUCUGCGGCCAAGCGAAAGCAUUAAGUAUUCCACCUGGGGAGUACGCCGGCAACGGUGAAACUCAAAGGAAUUGACGGGGGCCCGCACAAGCGGAGGAACAUGUGGUUUAAUUCGAUGAUACGCGAGGAACCUUACCCGGGCUUAAAUUGCAACCGAAUAUGGCGGAAACGCUAUAGCUAGCAAUAGCGGUUGUGAAGGUGCUGCAUGGUUGUCGUCAGCUCGUGCCGUGAGGUGUCGGCUUAAGUGCCAUAACGAGCGCAACCCUUGCCGAUAGUUACUAACAGGUUAUGCUGAGGACUCUGUCGGGACUGCCAUCGUAAGAUGUGAGGAAGGUGGGGAUGACGUCAAAUCAGCACGGCCCUUACGUCCGGGGCUACACACGUGUUACAAUGGGGGGUACAGAGGGCUGCUACCACGCAAGUGGAUGCCAAUCCCAAAAACCUCUCUCAGUUCGGAUUGAAGUCUGCAACCCGACUUCAUGAAGCUGGAUUCGCUAGUAAUCGCGCAUUCAGCCACGGCGCGGUGAAUACGUUCCCGGGCCU